rnacentral:sRNA from 1 species
AAUAAAUGAAGCAGAGUGUCAUGAACUAAUGUGGAAGUUCUCCCAGAUGAUGAUGAUUGAAAGAAGAAAACAGCAGAACAAUAUGUUUAGUGUGACGUCAUUUACGUAUGAGAGAGAAAGAGAUAGGAAGGCUGUGGGUUUUGUUGUAUUAAUGAAAAUGCCUCCCACGCUAAGCCUGGCCCUCAGCCUGCCAGCGUUUCCGCCUGGCUCACGAUGUUCCACGCUGUUCCUCCAGGCGUCCCUGAGGGCCUCCAUCCUCGCUCGGGACUGUGCGGCUGCGGCAGCUAUUGUGUUCUUGGUGGACCGGUUCCUGUAUGGGCUCGACGUCUCUGGAAAACUUCUGCAGGUCGCCAAAGGUCUCCACAAGUUGCAGCCAGCCACGCCAAUUGCCCCGCAGGUGGUUAUUCGCCAAGCCCGAAUCUCCGUGAACUCAGGAUUCCAUCCAGCCAAACACUCAAUGUAGUGGGAUGUCAGAAGCAAGAGAAGACCCACAAGGCCAGGCACUAUGGCUCAUGCCUGUAAUCCCAGCACUUUGGGAGGCCGAAGCGGGUGGAUCACCUGAGGUCAGGAGUUCGAGACCAGCCUGGACAACAUGAUGAAACCCCAUCUCUACUGAAAACUACAAAAAUUAGCCAGGCGUGGUGGCAGCCGCCUGUAAUCCCAGCUACUUAGGAGGCUGAGGCAGGAGAAUCACUUGAACUCCGGAGGUGGAAGUUGCAGUGAGGUGAGAUCACGCCAUUGUACUCCAGCCUGGGGCACAAGAUCAAGACUUCGUCUCAAAAAAAAAAAAAAAAAAAAAAAAGAGAGACAAUUCACAAGGCCUGCUCACCUCACUCUUGCCUGAAAUUAGGAGACAAAACCUUUCAAACCACAGUUACAGAUAAAGGCUCAGAUUUCCAAUUCCAUUAACAUGGAGGACUGAGCACGUGCAGAAUCUUCUCCCAUUACAAAUACAUAAAUAUGGUGAAUUAAAGAUUUGUAGGUAACUGAAACAUAAAAGGUAUUUAAAAUCACAGCAAUAGACUACUGCUUACGACACACAGCCAAAGGAACUUACACUUGAGCAAAGUCCUCAAGGGAAGGGGCUGUCAUUUUAAUCCCUGGGCAGAGAUGAGAGACAAUUGCCUUGUGCCCAUGUGAGAAGUAAAAUAUUUGCAUCAAGCUGGAAUUCUUAAAGGUUUGCACAGGCUACAAAAGGAGACUGAACAAUCCCACCAGCCUGCCCAGAGAAGUUACAAGGACGCUUGCUCUCUGCCCAAGCUCUGGGAUGGAGGGGAAAAAAAACUCUCAUCUAAAAUA